rnacentral:rRNA from 1 species
AGCGUGCGCAGGCGGUUUUGUAAGACUGUCGUGAAAUCCCCGGGCUCAACCUGGGAAUGGCGAUGGUGACUGCAAGGCUAGAGUUUGGCGAGAGGGGGGUAGAAUUCCACGUGUAGCAGUGAAAUGCGUAGAUAUGUGGAGGAACACCGAUGGCGAAGGCACGCCCCCUGGGUCAAAACUGACGCUCAUGCACGAAAGCGUGGGGAGCAAACAGGAUUAGAUACCCCAGU